rnacentral:rRNA from 1 species
GGGGCACAUAUAGAUUGCUUGCAAUUUAUGAUGGCGACCGGCGCACGGGUGAGUAACGCGUAUCCAACCUACCCAUUACUAGGGAAUAACCCAGCGAAAGUUGGCCUAAUGCCCUAUGUAGUCGUUUGAUCGCCUGAGAUUUCGACGAAAGAUUUAUCGGUAUUGGAUGGGGAUGCGUCUGAUUAGCUUGUUGGCGGGGUAAAGGCCCACCAAGGCAACGAUCAGUAGGGGUUCUGAGAGGAAGGUCCCCCACAUUGGAACUGAGACACGGUCCAAACUCCUACGGGAGGCAGCAGUGAGGAAUAUUGGUCAAUGGGCGAGAGCCUGAACCAGCCAAGUAGCGUGCAGGAUGACGGCCCUAUGGGUUGUAAACUGCUUUUAUAUGGGAAUAAAGUGAGGGACGUGUCCCUUAUUGCAUGUACCAUACGAAUAAGGACCGGCUAAUUCCGUGCCAGCAGCCGCGGUAAUACGGAAGGUCCAGGCGUUAUCCGGAUUUAUUGGGUUUAAAGGGAGCGUAGGCUGUUUGUUAAGCGUGUUGUGAAAUGUAGGAGCUCAACUUUUAGAUUGCAGCGCGAACUGGCAGACUUGAGUGCGCACAACGUAGGCGGAAUUCAUGGUGUAGCGGUGAAAUGCUUANAUAUCAUGACGAACUCCGAUUGCGA